GACAGAAUGAAACUCUGUCUCAAAAAAAAAAAAAAGUAUUUAAUGACAGAAAAAUUAUCACAAUUUUAUUUUAGGUGAAAAGAAUAUAUAAACUGUAACUCAGUAAUAUUUCUAAUGACAACAGCAAAUCUUUAUUUUCAAAUCAAUGUUGCCCAGUAUGAUAUUGUGCAUUUGCUAUGUACUCUUUCAUUUCAUCUUUGCAACAACACUUUGAGAUAUGUUGCAAUGAUCAUCCUCCUGUUACAGUUAAGAAAACU
rnacentral:lncRNA from 1 species